rnacentral:rRNA from 10 species
GCUUACGGCCAUACCACCUUAGGCACGCCCGAUCUCGUCUGAUCUCGGAAGCUAAGCAGGGUCGGGCCAGGUUAGUACUUGGAUGGGUGACCGCCUGGGAAUACCAGGUUCUGUAAGCA